UGGGGAAUAUUGCACAAUGGGCGCAAGCCUGAUGCAGCCAUGCCGCGUGUAUGAAGAAGGCCUUUGGGUUGUAAAGUACUUUCAGCGGGGAGGAAGGUAGUAAAGUUAAUACCUUUGCUCAUUGACGUUACCCGCAGAAGAAGCACCGGCUAACUCCGUGCCAGCAGCCGCGGUAAUACGGAGGGUGCAAGCGUUAAUCGGAAUUACUUGGCGUAAAGCGCACGCAGGCGGUUGAUUGAGUCAGAUGUGAAAUCCCCGGGCUUAACCCGGGAAUUGCAUCUGAUACUGGUCAGCUAGAGUCUUGUAGAGGGGGGUAGAAUUCCAUGUGUAGCGGUGAAAUGCGUAGAGAUGUGGAGGAAUACCGGUGGCGAAGGCGGCCCCCUGGACAAAGACUGACGCUCAGGUGCGAAAGCGUGGGGAGCAAACAGG
rnacentral:rRNA from 1 species